CCUACGGGUGGCAGCCGUGAGUAAUAUUGGUCAAUGGGCGCGAGCCUGAACCAGCCAAGUAGCGUGAAGGAUGACUGCCCUACGGGUUGUAAACUUCUUUUAUAAAGGAAUAAAGUGAGGCACGUGUGCCUUUUUGUAUGUACUUUAUGAAUAAGGAUCGGCUAACUCCGUGCCAGCAGACGCGGUAAUCCGGAGGAGCCGAGGGUUAUCCGGAUUUAUUGGGUUUAAAGGGAGCGUAGAUGGGUUGUUAAGUCAGUUGUGAAAGUUUGCGGCUCAACCGUAAAAUUGCAAUUGAUACUGGCAGCCUUGAGUACAGUUGAGGUAGGCGGAAUUCGUGGUGUAGCGGUGAAAUGCUUAGAUAUCACGAAGAAAUCCGAUUGCGAAGGCAGCUUACUAAACUGCCACUGACAUUGAUGCUCGAAAGUGUGGGUAUCAAACAGGAUUAGAUACCCUAGUAGUC
rnacentral:rRNA from 1 species